UCCCUGGUGGUCCAGUGGUUAAGGAUCGGUGCUUUCACUGCCAUGGCCCAGGUUCAAUCCCUAGUCAGGGAA
rnacentral:tRNA from 1 species